CUUCCAGCAGACUCAUUACCCAGAAGUCAACAGCAGGGACCAGUUAGCCUCCCGCCUGCAGCUCACCGAGGGCCGAAUACAGAUUUGGUUCCAGAACCGCAGAGCCAAAUGGAGGAAGGCCGAAACGCUGAAUGAUUUAGAACUGAUGACCAGACCGCACGUGCAGCCAGCCGGCCAUCACCUGCUUUAUUAUGAGUUCUUACAGAAGGCCCCGUGCUGGCUGCCGUGCUGCUUCCCGAAACCCCUCCAAACCAAAGCUGCUCCUCAGAGCGCCGUGGACAGCCGGCUUGCUGACCAGCACGCAUUCCCCAGAUCACAGGACUCUGUAUUUUGACCCUCUGGAGACAGACAGAUAGCGACUUUCGUAUUCCUGCAAAGGAUGACGCCACCGUGAUGAGUUCCUGGUGACGCGCCAACAGGAAGUCACGACCGUCGCCUGUGAGCCACGGAGACUCACGGCACACGUCGACAACAUGAAAUAACGUUUGCGUUUUCACAACUGAACUUUGU